UGUUGAAUGUGAGAAAACAAACUUGCAAAUUUUAACCUCAGUAAAAAGGACAAGUUUCUAAUUAAAACGUGUACAGGGGAGAGCACAUGAUAAUGCAUGAUUCUGUAACCCAUCUGCUGGAUGUCCUCUGGCAGCGAGAGCAGGCCAUGCAUUAAUGCAUGCGCAGGACUGACUAGGACUACUGAAUACUUGGUAAAAUUUUGAGUGAUACUCCCAGUAAAACAUAAAAUCACAUCAGGGUUAUGAGUACUAUCGUAGCCAGAUUAGCAGUUCAAAAAAUCGUAGCCAGACUAGGAGGUAAAAUGAGAUUGGAAAGGAAAAUGAAGGGGAAGGAACGGAGGGUGACGAUAAGGUGCUACAAUUAGAGACUACAAGAUUAAAUGUACAAUGAACUAAUAUUAGGAUUAAUGGCUCAAAAGUUGCAUGUAAGGUAGAUCCUAGUAAACUACAAUUCUUCUUUCAGAUGCUCAGUAGUA
rnacentral:misc_RNA from 1 species